GUCAUGCUCGUCCAUCAGGCUGUACCUGAACAAAACUGUGCAACUGACUGUGAAUUCCUCAGCCAGAAUCAGCCAGGCUUGCUGGGACUCGUCUGCGGGGUCAUCAAGAAGUUCUUAAGUACAAUGAUUCUGACUGGACCCAAAGGAUAACGCAGUUGAGAAAUGGACGCAGAGGUCCAGAUUGACACCACGCCACUCCCUGGAGUGUAACAGAUGAGAGAGAAAAAUCAAUGCAGUAGCUACAGCAGCUAGGAGAAUUCACAGCGUAGUCAAGGGAGAUGAUGCUUCCGGGCUUUGAGGCGUUUGCGCUCCUGUUGCUGUUGGUUCUCCUUGGUGUGCAGCUCCUUGAGGUAUUCCGUGGCGUGGGUCAGAAUGGCAACCUUGGGGGUCUUGGUGGAUUCAAGACCUGGGAUCUGAUCUCGGAGGGCCAAGAACCUGGACUUGAGGUCGUUCCUCCUCUUCCUCUCCAGGUAGUUGUGGUUCUUCCUGCGGUCUACGUCCUCCAUGUCAGAGUUCAAGGAGCUUCCCGAAGGUGAGAUCGGACGACUGGACGCCGGGCUCGUACGCUUGCUUUGGAACUCCUCCAGGUCAUCCUCAUCUUCAUCAUCAUCAUCAUCGUCGUGAGCGUCGGGCUUGGUGUCGGGGGAGCGGGCUGCAUAGUUGUGCUGCUGCUGGUGAACCAAGGCGUGGAAGCUUUUAGGGAAGGGGUCCGCAGGCACUGUGAGGUUCACUGGCUUGUGGACACUCGCCAGUUGGGCCUGGUUGUGUUUGCUCUCCACCGUGACAACAUCAAUUUCUUCUUCUUCUUCUUCGUCUUCUUCUUCUUCUUCUGUAAAUAAUACACAAAAACAACUUUUAGGGGAAAGAAAAAUCAAUAAUUAACAGACCUUUUUUCACACAUUGACAAAAAAUCCACAACAAAUAACAUCUGUUUUUAUCUCUCUAUGCCAAUGACGUGUAGUGAGAGGCAUAACAAUUAAAUAGUCUUCCACUAAAUGUCAGUAAAAGUAACUUGUACAUCUAACUAAUGACACAAACAACAAAGAAUUGGCUAAUCGUGUGUUGUAGGCAAGACCACACCAACCGAGACCAAGAUGUUAGUUAGGGAGACUAGAGAAUUGAAACUGGGAUAAGACUUUUGGGUGUUGAGAUUGAGACUAGGGCGUCUACAAAAAAAAUAAAAAACCAUUUGCAACAAAAACAAAUACAACAACUGAAGUUUGUGCUUAGUGCACACAAGCAUCAAAUUAUAGAAGCCAUUGAAACACAUCAUACAUUACUCAGUGAGCUACUUUCUCUUUGAAGUGAUUUCUCUUUUAAAUGGUCUUUGACAAUACCACUAUUGUCCUGGAAAAAGCGUUUUUAAGCAAUAUUUGUUAUUCAACAAAUUUGAUGAACCUCCCAAGUAACGCUGACCAAGAUUGUUGAUUGUUUUUGUGCCAGCCUGCUUUUGACAGAAAAAUUGGGUGUAAUAUUAAAUUGCUGUCAGCUCUGAACGUUGGUCAGAAAACAUCGCAGGUAUAAAAAAAAAUUCUCAAUGUCUUAGAAUGUGGUGUUCUGAUUUUAGCUUUGCCAGUGUGGUUCAUUUAAUGGUUACUUUACCUGUAAAGCGAUGUCUCAGCACCAGAAUUUGCACGCUGCUAUCUUUCCGCUUACAUUUUGCUUGGCAAAUGAAAUCGCUUUGGAAGCCAAACUCAACUACUGGACGAGUUUGUUGACAUUUUUCCUGAUUUAUCUGGGAUGCUGUGUCUCGAGUAGUCUUCCCUCUCACUCUCUGUGUGCAGGGGGCGUGGCACUCCACGCGACACAGAGAAAGUGCAGCACCCGGUUUCUGUGUUUCACAUUGAUCAGUUGUACUAGCUUGGUAUCAACCAGCCUUGAUAAAGAAAAAAUUCAAGUCCGCCCUGUCUGACGCCUUCGAUUUGAGGGGAGACCAACCCUAAAAGGUGGUCUCGAGACCAAGACUGAUCUCUAUAAAUACACAAGAAAUAAUUAAACUAAAAAGAGCAUGUCUGAUACUAAAUAAGUAAACCGCUGAGUAUAAAUUGAGAUCAAUAACAUGACAACAUUUAGUGUGAAUACUUUUGGUUGUGUGCUGUGCCACAAGACUCUUCUUGUUCUUCUGGGUUCGAACCACUGGAUGAGGAACAGUAAUAAUCCAAUUUAGGUGACAAUAGGAAGUGCAUUCCAGAGUCAAGCAAGCACAUCACUAUUUCCCCCACAGAGCUUCGAGGCAUUGGAGCAAAGAAGAAUUUGAGCCUUUGUCAUGGACCACAAGGAACAUUCAUCAGCAAUUGUAAUGAGUGGACCUGAUGGCCAGUAGGCGUGCUCUAAUUGAGAGACCUGAAAGGUUGAUGCUUUUCCAUCACAAAUCACAGGGGCUCAUCCAAUCAAAUGUAAAACAGAGGUUGCUGAAAGAUUGGGGGGGGGGGGGGGCAGCCUCGAGACGCAUGUGGUACACUCAGUUACGCAAUGUUUUCACAUUACGUAUUGUUAAAAAGAAAAUAAUUCAGAGGUCAGGCUGCGCCCUUACCGGAAGAGUCAGUCCGAGAAUCGGAGCCAGAUGACGCUGUUUUCCUGCAGCUAAUGGUCGGGUAGGCGAGAACAUCCUCAGGGUCAACAAAGUCCGCAGCCGAGAAGCCGAAUGAUCUGCUUGGCUUCGCGAGGCUCUGCGAACCAGGGCGAGCUGCUGGGGGCUGAGGCGGAGCCGACUGCUUGCCGUGCAUUACCUUCUCCAGCGCUUUGCUGGUUGAGAAACUACUCCACAUGCAGUCCUGGAUGAUGAUGGAGCUGAUGUUGGGGACCGGCCUCUGAAUCUCGCACUCGUCUUCCUGAGCCAGGACUCUGGAUAACCAGCCCACGUUGCAGUCCCCGCUCUCCAGAGUCUGGGGGGGAGACGUGGGAGGGGAGGGCAGCAGCUCGAACUUUUUCCAAAUGUCCUCGCUUGGAGCGCAUGAAUUGUAGAAAUCCUCUUCGGUAUCAAAGUCAUUGAAAAAAUAGUGCUGGUAACAGUCGUACUCCAUUGUUAGGCUGGUGAUAAAACAAAGCAAAAAUACAAUUCCUCUUUGAUUUUAGUCCUUUGAACCUGAAGGAAACAUUGCAGGAAGUUAACCGCUUUGAAUUUCCAAUUGAUUGUUACGGUGACGCCGCGAAACAUGAGCAUAAUGCGCUAAAUACUCGAAAUAAAUUUCCGCGGUAACUACAUUUAACUGGUAAUGAAGACCGGUCCGUUCAGAACUCGAACACCACAAACAUGCAACGUGCAAAGUUCACUCAACUCGAUCCAAACAAAACUUGCACAAAAGAUCGUGCACAACUCACUGACUCCAAAAAAAUUCAGGUCAAAAACAAAUCCACUGGUAG